GUACCGGGUGGCGAACGAGGUUUGUCCUGUUUCUCUAUUCUUCUCUUUCAGGGGAGUUCGGGGUAGUGAAUAGCAUAGAGAGGGUUUUUUUAGCGUAGCGUGCGUUGGAGGGCAAGGAGAAAAAGAGAAGGGGCCCGACACGCCGAUGCCAAAGGCGGCGGCGGCGGAGCGGGGAUAGCCGGGCAGGGUAGAGGAGGCCGUGGCUGGUGACCGCUUGCGCGGGAGAACUCAUGUCGAAGAGGGGGUUUGGAAGUCUAGAAGCACAAGGGGGUCCGCCAGUACCACCAACGUCUCCUCCCCCCCAACGUAGCUCCACGACUGUCUACGAGCCGUGGAAGCACUACACCUCUACCGCGACGGCUGAAGGGUGGUCGAAGGAGACCGCUCCCUCUACCGAGCCGGUUCGGUACCGGGAUCGCGACGUCUAAAGCCGCCGGUGCUCUAACAUGUGGUGGGUACCAUCGCUGGUCGAAACGAAACACGACACUUACUGUCGAUGCCCAAGGUAGUAUACAAGUCGAUCUUACCUAAACAUUACUUACCUACAACGUCGAACAUGAUGCCUACGAACCUUAGAAAUGUAUUCAAACUACUUGGACGGCUAAACCUACCAAUAACCAGAGGAUGUAUACAAUGGACUUCUACAGAUUUCGAAGGAAUUCUUUACACUAAGACGAGAAUCAGUUAUCGUCCUACUGAUCUGUGUAUGAGUAUAGGCGAGCAACUAAUACAGCUAUAAAAAACCUACUAGCAGUAGCCCUGUCUAGAACAGCAGCGGAGCGGUGGGAGCGGUAGUCCUAACAUAAUUACUGUGUUCUAAGACCGGGACCACAGAAGACAAUCAUGUUAUCUCUCAAUAGGUUAACCACCUAGGUGCUGUACAUACCCUCGUUCCCUUGGCCUCCACGAUCUACGUCCGUGAUUAACAUAAAUCUCAAGCCGACGUUGUUAGUUCAGCAAAUCCUACACGUCACGUUCUGCUGUGACUAGCUGACACCACCCGCUCAGUUGCCCUCCACUGUUACUACUGACUAUACCAAUGGCCGUCUAUUUUCCCCCGACCUUCCCGGCGACCGUGACGUGUUGAUUGUAAGUCCGCAGCAGUGUUCCGACCUCUCCAGGAUACGUAGCGACGACGAUAAGUACAGUGACCUUUCGACUUUUGACGGUUCAAACUAACAAGAGUGGCACCCUUCCGAUCGUCCUGUUUAUAUAACGUAGUACACUUCUUCGUUUGUUUCGUCGUUGUUCCAAGAUCUUCGGGCCACAUCUCCGUCUACUACCGCUACCAGCACUUCUGCUAGUCCGAGUCGGUAGGCGGUACUUGUAUACGGGUUCUUGUUUGUUUGUUAAUUAGUUCACUUACGUAGUUUUACACAUCUAUGUCCACUGUUCACGAACUUGAUGAUCGAUCGUAACCCGACAUAUAUAUCUAUCUUAUAAAGAACGCGCCAAAAUAAAUAGAAAACACAGACCAGUGGGGCAUUAUAAUACUAAGACUACACUUAGACACCAAGUUUAUCUAUCCGCCCCUGUGGUUUAUGAGUAACGCCGUGAUGAGCUGACCGAGACCAAUUACGUUAUACGA
rnacentral:rRNA from 1 species